rfam:Candidatus Vogelbacteria bacterium RIFOXYD1_FTLL_44_32 rifoxyd1_full_scaffold_27, whole genome shotgun sequence.
GGCCCGAUGGUGAAGCGGUAACACAGCGGUCUGCAAAACCGCGAUGCGCGAGUUCGAUUCUCGCUCGGGCCU